ACCCGAAAAAAGCUGGAAAUCAAAAUCUGCAAGAAUAAUUUUCGAUUUGAGAUGCAAUUUUCAAUUGGUUCUUUUCCCCCAGGAAAUCCUUGCAUUGCAUUAGCUGGUCUCGAUUCCCCCCUCAACCCCUUUGUAAAAUAAAGCAAGUUUUUGUUCCGCCAGAGAAAUGGGGAGCUAAAGCAUGGCUAUGAUUGCCUCACACAAAAGUAUGCCUGAGUAAUAUUAAUAUUAUGCAAGAACACGGCUCUUUCCACAACUUCAGAAAUACUGAUUAUUUUCUUUAAAACACAGGGUAACUGAUUCAUUUGCAUCACCAUAACAAUUUAUUGGACUGAAAUUUAAAUAAAAUAAAUUUGUUAUAUAAAA